AGGAAAUGGUGUACUGGAACCACCAAGA
rnacentral:tRNA from 1 species